CAGAAAUGUACAGUCUAAGAGAAAAUGUUACAUAUUGUGGAAAUACAUUGUUGACCAAGUGUGACUCUGUGACAAUGUAGUAUCUAUUUAGAUUUGUUUUUACAAACCAAUGUACUUUGAAGUUAUCAAGAUUAGUUGAAACCGAUUGGUGUAAAGAGGGUAGUUUUUGUAUUGCUUGGCAUACGCCCUUGUCACGCUGUGUAUAGCUACUUUGACUAUUGGGGGAAAGGGACAAUGGUCACAGUCUCAUCAGCAGCCACAGCCUCCCCUACUCUAUUCCCUCUUAUGAACUGUGGAACYGCUUCUAAUAAUGUCUACAGCAUCGGUUGUCUCGCUACCGGCUUUUCACCUUCCUCAAUCACCUUCAAGUGGACAGACGACAGCGGGAGUGCGCUGACGGACUUCGUCCAGUACCCGGCAGUCCAGAGUGGGGGAGCCUACACAGGAGUCAGUCAGCUCCGUGUGGCUGAGAACGUCUGGGAAAACUCAAAGUCUUUCAUUUGUUCUGUGGAACAUCCURGAGGUGGAAAGACAGCAGUCAUCAAUAAACCAGUCCCAAAGUCUCCAACAGUGUCUUUGCUGUCGGGGCCCAUUGGCACCACCCAGUACCUGAUGUGUAUGAUUGAAGAUUUCACCCCAAAUAAAGUCACUGUCACCUGGAAGAAGAAUGACAUGGAGGUGGAGGGCCAGAUCACUACUGUAGGCAAACAGCCGUCAGGCCUCUACUCAGGCAGCAGUCUGCUGAAGGUCAACAACACUGACUGGAACAACAAGGUCAAGUACAGCUGUGUGGUGCAGCACCAGGGACAAACCACCAUCAAGACAAUUUCCAAAACAGAAGCACUGACGGUGACUCUGAACUCACCGCGUGUGAGAGAGGUAUUCCUUGACAACCAAGCAGUGCUGGACUGUGUCAUCAGUGGUACAGACCAGGACACAGUGUCUGGUACCAAAAUCACCUGGCACGUCAACGGACAGAAACAAACAGAUCACAUCGAUCUGAAACCUAUUGAAUCAAAGGGCAACCUGAACAGCAGGGUCAGUACUCUGACCAUAGACCAGACGAAGUGGACCAAUGUGAACAAAGUCCAGUGUUCUGCCAUGAAGAGUGGUGAAGACACACCGGUCAUUCAGGAACUCAGCUUCACCAAAGGUCAAGCCCCUUCAGUGUCCGUUCACCUUGUUCCAAAGGAAGACACCAUGGAGGGGGAAGUGACUCUGUUGUGCCUGGUGGUCAGUCCGUCUCUCUGUGAUGUCUACAUCAUAUGGAAGGUGGGCAAUGACACUUAUCAGGAGGGGGUCACCAGCCCUCCUCAGAAAACCCAGAAAGGCAGCUACCUUGUCACCAGCGUCUUCACCACUGCCAAGAACGUGUGGGACACAGAAGUGCUUUUCACAUGCGCCGUCAGGCACGCCGGCUUGGACAACAACACCGCAGCUAAGGAGGACAGUGUGUCGAAGUCCUUGGAGAACAUCCUACUGACUGAGCCUGAGGCGGGCUUCGCUCUGAGCUGCACGGACAACAAUGAGGAUGAGUUCAGCAGCCUGUGGUCCACCACCUCCUCCUUCAUCAUCCUCUUCCUUCUCUCCUCACCUACAGCACAGUACUCAGCCUGGUCAAGAUGAAGCAGUGAGAACACAUGAUGGACUGUAGAGAUAGAUGUGUCUAGAUUAGAAAGAAAAUGGUCUGGGAUGCUUAUGGCAUAGUAUUCUUCAGUAAUAAUGUUACAUAUAUAUCCAAUACAUUAUUGAUUAUGAUUGAUUAGUAUUGUUGUUCUCAAUAUUAUACAAGCAUUGUGGUGAUAUGUUAUUUCAUUCAUUGAUUUAUUUUGUACAGUAUCUUUGAAUAUAAGUGUAUACUGUGAUGUCUGUGUGUCCUUUUUCACUUUAAGUUGUCGUUCUUUUUUUUUUACAUCCGCUGGAUACUAAUACUGGGACAAGGACACAUCCUAUAUACAAAGACAUUACUGAUUGGAGUGUUUCUGCUUGGCAGAGUUAUCUAUGGAGCCAAAUUACAGCUGUAGUCCCUCCCAGGACAGAUUAAAACAACGUUAGAUAUCUGUAAUAUUCAACUAAGACUUCAACAUUCUGUUAUCAGUUGAUCUGAGG